AUUCCAGCUCUGUAAGCGUAUACCAAAGUUGUUGCAGUUAAAACGCUCGUAGUCGGAUUUUGGCGUGGUGCUACUGAAGUCCCUGAUUGGGUAUUGACGUUAGUCCCGCCUUUGUGGAUGGGGGCGUGGUGGUGCUUCACUGUAUUGCUGCGUUUCCGCCACUGUUUACUGUGAAAAAAUUAGAGUGUUCAAAGCGAGCGAUUGCCAUGAAUACAUUAGCAUGGAAUAAUAGAAUAGGACCUGAUCCUGUUUUGUUGGUUUGUCGGUAUUAGGUAAUGAUUAAGAGGGACGGUCGGGGGCAUUUGUAUUCCAGGGUUAGAGGUGAAAUUCUUAGAUCCUUGGAAGACAAACAGCUGCGAAAGCGUCUGCCAAGGACGUUUUCAUUA
rnacentral:rRNA from 1 species